rnacentral:misc_RNA from 1 species
AAAUGGAAGAGAAAAGUGUUUGCGGUGUUGUUGUUAGGGUUUUGUUUUGGGAGCUUGCUUUUGAUGCAAACUCAGUACACUCGAAUUCUGGCACUCUCUUCUCUGCAGUCUCGUUUCGUUCAGAAGCCGAAAAUUGCUUUUCUCUUUAUAGCUCGAAAUCGGCUUCCUCUCGAAAUUGUUUGGGAUGCGUUUCUUAAGGGCGCAGAAUCUAGAUUUUCAAUUUUUGUUCAUUCAAGGCCUGGGUUUCUGCUCAACAAGGCAACAACAAGAUCUGACUACUUUUUGAAUCGCCAAGUUAACAAUAGUAUACAGGUAGACUGGGGAGAAGCAAGCAUGAUUGAGGCUGAGCGCAUAUUGCUUAGACAUGCGCUGGAGGAUCCUCAGAAUGAACGCUUUGUUUUCCUCUCAGACAGUUGCAUACCUCUUUACAACUUCAGCUACAUGUAUGACUACAUCAUGUCAACAUCAACUAGUUUUGUAGACAGCUUUGCUGAUACAAAAGAGGGCCGCUACAACCCAAAAAUGGCUUCAUCCAUUCCUGUUCGUAACUGGAGGAAAGGAUCUCAGUGGGUUGUUCUCACCAGAAAGCAUGCAGAGAUUGUCGUGAAUGACACUACAGUCUUUCCUAUGUUUCAACAGCAUUGCAAGAGGAGAUCGCUACCUGAGUUUUGGCGGGACCAACCCUUUCCAGCUGAUGCAGCCAAGGAGCACAAUUGUAUUCCUGAUGAACAUUAUGUACAGACAUUACUGGCUCAAGAAGGCUUGGAAGGAGAAAUCACACGAAGGUCAUUGACGCAUAGUUCAUGGGAUCUUUCAUCCUCAAAAGACCCCGAGCGCCGUGGAUGGCAUCCUGUUACUUAUAAAUUCUCUGAUGCUACUCCCAAGCUUAUAAAAUAUAUUAAGGGCAUCGACAAUAUUUAUUACGAGACUGAAUAUCGAAGAGAGUGGUGCACCAGCAAAGGGAAACCAUCCACAUGCUUCCUUUUUGCAAGAAAAUUCACCCGUCCUGCUGCCCUUCGCCUUCUUAAUAUGUCUCUGCUGGGAGCUUCCCGUAAGGCACAAACAAGGCAUGAUUCUUAACAAUGCUGAAGUGGAUUUCUUCUGUAGGUACGAUGUUAGAUAUGAAUAGUUGGCCUUAGCCUAUAUGGAUAAAGGUAAUGCAAUAUGGGGUGAAGGUUAAUGAAGAGAGCUGUAAAUUAGAGUGGAAAUGAAAAAGAAAUAUCGGAAAAGAAAAAUAAAUUUUAAAUAUAGUGUAUUCUUUUUCUUUUUUCUUUUUUUUCUCAUUUGUUCAGUCACAGAAUAAGAAAAAGGGAAAUAUCAUUGUGUUUGAUAUGCAUAUGCUGUAUUCUAAAUUGCUAUAUUUUCACUUUGGUGCAAAAACAAGGGGGUUGUGAUGAUGAAGAGGCCAAUGCGACUCCUACAUCUCUUCGCCUUGAGAAGUAUGAGAUGGUCGUAGUUUUUUUAUUUGCUCACUCUGUUGGUGUAUAUCAUGAAAAUAUAGCAAUUUAGAAUACAG